AGAGUUUGAUUAUGGCUCAGGAUGAACGCUAGCGACAGGCUUAACACAUGCAAGUCGAGGGGCAGCGGGGGUGAAGGCUUGCCUUCACCUGCCGGCGACCGGCGCACGGGUGAGUAACACGUAUGCAACCUGCCCGUGACAGUGGGAUAAUCCGGAGAAAUCCGGUCUAAUACCGCAUGAUCCCCUGUGGAGACAUCUCCACGGGGGCAAAGGAAGUAAUUCCGGUCACGGAUGGGCAUGCGUCGCAUUAGCUAGUUGGCGGGGUAACGGCCCACCAAGGCGACGAUGCGUAGGGGUUCUGAGAGGAAGGUCCCCCACACUGGUACUGAGACACGGACCAGACUCCUACGGGAGGCAGCAGUGAGGAAUAUUGGUCAAUGGGCGCGAGCCUGAACCAGCCAAGUCGCGUGAGGGAAGACGGUCCUAUGGAUUGUAAACCUCUUUUGCCGGGGAGCAUAAGGAGCCACGUGUGGCUCAUCGAGAGUACCCGGAGAAAAAGCAUCGGCUAACUCCGUGCCAGCAGCCGCGGUAAUA
rnacentral:rRNA from 1 species